GACUAUAAGUUAACCACAGCCCUGACGUUAUUGUGCUUUAUGCUUCCGCUGAAUAAUAGUGACAAUGGUCUUUUGAAGCGCAGUGCUGUCGGCGAAGAUAGCGAUGAAAUAACACGAGCCAUAUUGUGGUGAGUAGGUCUUUUUUGAACACAUUUAUCCACGCAUACGCAAGAGAGCAAAAGAGCCAUGGUCUCUCUUACAAUAAAUUUUGCCCUAACUCUCGCUUUUGGCAGCUACGGUUAUGCCAUUAAGUAUCCUCCUGGGUGGAGUGCGCCAAGCUUUAAGAGUUUUCAAGAGAUGUUGAACACUGGAGAAAAAAUCUGGCUGACGAAGCGCACCUACGAUGUGGAGAGGAUUGAUUGCGUUUACUGGGAGAAGAUUGCACUUAACAAGACCGAUUACGACUACUUUUACUGGCGCCGAAGGAACCCUAGAAGGCGUGACUGGACUAAACAAGCACCGGGAAU
rnacentral:lncRNA from 1 species